AAACCAUGCAUUGAGCAUUUGCACAGAAAAUCCUUGAAACGCUCCCAAGCUUCAUAUAAGUUCUCAUCCUCCAUUUUCUAAUGAAUGUGAGAUCAUUCCUCAGUUU